rnacentral:lncRNA from 1 species
CCCUUCAUCCUUCCCUGCUGCCAAAACCCAUCAGUCUCUCCCUUUGCCUUUUCUCGCCGGAUUCUGGCCAAACCAUAAUAACUAUAUUGCCUCUUCGAUCACAGAACUCUCCCAAUCACCAUCGACGGCCACUUUUCUAACCAUCAAGACUAGUUGUCGUUCCUUCCUCUCAUACCCACUAGCCACUGCCACAAGCCUAGCGCUGCCGCCAACGCAGCACCCAUCGUUCCCCUUAAUGGUCUCUUACUCUAACAACCCCUAAUCGCUAUCAUAGCAUGACCCAGCAGCCCCCCAAAGCACCAUCGCCCAACCACUUUGUUCCAAUCACAAAUCCAACCCAGCCACUUAGCCAUCGACCCGAUCUCCUCAUGCCAUAACCCUCUCAACAGUAACUUGAACCACCCAGCAAUAAAUCGAUCUCCUCCUCUUAAACCCAUAAACACCCAAAGAAAUCAGAUCAUAGCGGUCUUUUUUUGGGAUUCCCCCUCAAAUACGAACUUGGC